CAAGACUUUGGUGGUUAUUUAAAGCGCUUCAUUUUAUUUUGGAAAGUCAGUGUUGCUUCCUGUGCAGUUGUUCACGGCAGGUGUAUUCAGGGUUUAACGGAAGCACAUAGCCCAUUGGUUUAUGACCUGUGGUUACCUGUGGUCACCUGUGGUCAUUUGAAAAUAAA